AGUGACGUCAAUGCGUCCAUCAAAGUCGAGGCGAAAGCGAGAUUAAGCGAAUUUAAGGAUACGUUCGUUGGGUAGGGGAGCGUUCUGUAAGCCUGCGAAGGUGUACUGUGAGGUAUGCUGGAGGUAUCAGAAGUGCGAAUGCUGACAUAAGUAACGAUAAUGCGGGUGAAAAACCCGCACGCCGGAAGACCAAGGGUUCCUGUCCAACGUUAAUCGGGGCAGGGUGAGUCGACCCCUAAGGCGAGGCUGAAAAGCGUAGUCGAUGGGAAACGGGUUAAUAUUCCCGUACUGGUGGUAACUGCGAUGGGGGAACGGAGAAGGCUAGGUUGUCCGGGCGACGGUCGUCCCGGUUCAAGCAUGUAGGCAGAGUGACUAGGCAAAUCCGGUCACUUAAUG
rnacentral:rRNA from 1 species